CAGAGAGAAACAGAGAAAGACAUCAGUGUAAAUGUACUUCGACUUGAGUAUUUCAACAACUCUUCUCUUCCGACUUGUUCGGCAAUCAUAUGUACCUACAGAGGAAGGAGAGUGAUUUUUACUAAGGAGGAGAAGGAGCCGUGCUGACCGAGAUGCAUGCUGGCAAUUUCGGAGUGAAGCGCAUGAUUGCCAAAAUCAACCUACGCUUCUUCUGAUGGGGAAUUGUCAAGGAGGUGGACAGCUGGGCAAGGGAAAUAACCUUUUGUUUAUCAAUCACAUUCUUUUAUAUCUGAAAUGAUUAUGAUUUCAAUUAAUGUCAUUUCAGAGAGCACACAAUGUUUCAAUUUGUCACUUUUUGCUUAAAGGUCAGUACCCUGUGUCUACUUGCCAGAAGUUUGAGAGGGCGAAGACUGUCGCGCCGGAGUUGAAGCCCAAAGUUGUUUCACCGUGGCACAUGAUCGGGGUGGACCUUAUCGGACCCUUCACUGAAUCCAGGAAUGGCAACAGCUGGUGUCUGACGGCGACCAAUCACUUUACCAAGUGGUUAGAGGCAAUAUCCAUUAAGGGCGAGACUGGCAAGGCUACCUUCAAGGCAAUGAUGGACAUCUUCAACACCCACGGUUCUUCUGAGGUCAUCUUGAGUGACCAAGGUUAGGAACGCUGGAAUAAGGUACAGAUGUUAUACAGUUUGGUGAAUGGACCAACCAGACCCUCAAGACUGCCAUGGGCAAGUCCCUUGAUUGGUACAAGGAAGGGUGGGCGAACAACCUGAAGGUAAUUCUCUUUGCACACAACAGCAGCAUCCAGGCCUCCACUGACUACGGACUGGGGGCUGCAGCUGUUGGCUCAGAUCACUGAAACUCCACCUGAUGUMGUGGAAGUUGUCGAACCAGAUCAGAACGCCUUCGAGGACCACCUUCAGGCACGUGCUGAGAAGGAUGUGGAGGUUUUUGACCAGGUGAGACUGAACAUUGACAAGGCGCAGGAGAAACAGAAGGAGAACUACCGGAGCAGAAUCAAGAAGGGGACCAAGUGCUACAACAUCCGGGGAAAUUACUUGGUUUGGAAGAAGCGCGAAAGGAAGGGUUACCUCGGUGGAAGCCAACAAUCUUCUCCAGUUGUACGGUCAAGCACUGACGCCUUACACUUCGGGGAAGCCCAAUAGACAAAGUAUGUUAAGUUUUGGUUGACAUUUGAGAAGGCAAGAAAUGGUAGUUAUGCUGAAAGCACGCCCCCAUCCACAUCGACGGGGCUGCAGUGGAACYGGUCGAGUGCUUCAAGUUCCUCGGUGUCCAAAUCACUAAGGACUUGAAAUGGUCCGCACCCACUCACACAGUCGUGAAGAAGUUCGGGAGGUUGAAAAGGUUUGGCAUGUGCCCUCAAAUCCUCAACAAGUUCUACAGCUGUACACCUGAGAGCAUAUUUACUGGCUGUAUCACUGCUUAUGACAAUAGCACCGCCCUCGAUCGCAUGGCGCUACAGAGGGUUGUCUGGACAGCCCAGUACAUCACUGGUGCCGAGCUACCUGCCAUCCAGGACGUCUAUAUCAGGCUGUGUGAAAGCAAGUCUCCAACCACCCAAGCCAUAGACUGUUUGCACUGCUUCCGCAUGGCAAGCGGUACCGGUGCAUCAAGUCUGACAC